GAUGAACGCUGGCGGCGUGCUUAACACAUGCAAGUCGAACGGAAAGGCCUUUUCGGAGGUACUCGAGUGGCGAACGGGUGAGUAACACGUGGGUGAUCUGCCCUGCACUCUGGGAUAAGCCUGGGAAACUGGGUCUAAUACCGGAUAGGACCGCACUUUAGUGUGUGUGGUGGAAAGUUUUUUCGGUGUAGGAUGAGCCCGCGGCCUAUCAGCUUGUUGGUGGGGUAAUGGCCUACCAAGGCGGCGACGGGUAGCCGGACUGAGAGGUUGGUCGGCCACAUGGGGACUGAGAUACGGCCCAGACUCCUACGGGAGGCAGCAGUGGGGAAUAUUGCACAAUGGGCGCAAGCCUGAUGCAGCGACGCCGCGUGGGGGAUGACGGCCUUCGGGUUGUAAACUCCUUUCGCCAGGGACGAAGCGUUUUGUGACGGUACCUGGAGAAGAAGCACCGGCUAACUACGUG
rnacentral:rRNA from 1 species